UACGUAGGACCCAAGCGUUAUCCGGAAUUACUGGGCGUAAAGAGUUGCGUAGGUGGCAUUAUAAGUGGAGCGUGAAAGCGUGCGGCUCAACCGCAUUACUGCGUUCCAAACUGUAAAGCUUGAGUAUGAGAGGGGUAGAUGGAAUUUCUAGUGUAGGAGUGAAAUCCGUAGAUAUUAGAAGGAACACCGAUAGCGUAGGCAGUCUACUGGCUCAUUACUGACACUAAGGCACGAAAGCGUGGGGAGCAAACAGG
rnacentral:rRNA from 1 species